AACACAUUUAGAAGAUAGAGAUACAGAUUAGAUUUGUGCAAUGGCAAGCCAAGAAAUACCAACGGUUGAUGACGCUAUGGUGUGAAGAUUUGUCUCCUCCAAAACUCAUGUUGAAAUGUAAUCCCCAAGGUAGCAGUAUGGAGAGGUAGAGCCUUGAAGAGGUGAUUGGUCUGCCCUCAUGAAUGGAUUAAUCCAUUGAUGGAUCAAUGGGUUAAUGGAUUAUCAUAGGAGGGGAACGGGUGGCUUUAUAUUAGGAGGAAGAGAUACCUGGGCUAACAUGCUCCACUUCCUCAUCAUGUGAUGUCCUGUGCUACCAUGAGACUCUACAGAGUUCCCAGCAGCAAGAAGGCCCUGAGCAGAUAUGGCCCUCUGACCUUGGACUUCUCAGCCUCCGUGACUAAGCCACUGAGACAGUGGUGGGGCAGCCACCUUCUCGUUCUUCUUCUUCUUCCUGCUUUCCCUCAGAGAUGGACUCUUAAUAAGAUAUCUCAGAAGCUGGACUGGCCUAACUGGAGAUAAAACUUGAAUUAAAAGAAGAGGCAAGAACUGGUGCUUCAUUCAUCUCUCCCAUCAACUCUCUCUUUGUGGUCCUGAUUUGUCAGUGAGAAUGUACUGGAGUUUGCAAAGGAGAAAAAAAAACCACAGAGCUUUUCUCCCAAUUGUCUGCUUUCAGAAUGAAGAAGGAGAAGUCAACAUUUGGGAAGUGUUUACCAUGGACCAGGAGUCUCCGGAAACUCGAAGAUUACAAGCAGAAAACUAGCCUGAUACACUUAGCAUAUGCAAAUGCUGUGCCAGAGAGACCACCAAAGCUUGGAUUCCUCCUUCUGACUCUCCAGAGAUAUAUAGGGGCAAGCCUUUCAACCAGGGCAGAAGGAUUACAAGCCACUGUACUUUGCAGUAUCCUUGAGAGAUGGAGGUGGACGGAGGGACUGUUACUUUUUGCCAUCAUGAGGAGGACACGGACUCUCGGACAAGAUAAUCCUCCUGAAGCUACUUGAGAGUGAAGUGCAGACCUAGGGCCCUGGAUUCUAGAGCCCAGAACCACCAGCUGGCCUGGACUUCCAACCUCCAAAUUCAGGCCUGUUCUCACCCAGCUCAGGCACAUAGUCAAACUCAAAGGCGUGAAAAUCAAUUAGAACACGUGAGGGAAGAUGGUUCUCAGUCUGAACCAGACACACCAAUGAAUGGACUUGGAGGCCAGGCCAGGUCCCAAAUGCCUCCGCACCCCGCCGAUAUUUCUUUUGUAUAUUACAAGCCAGCAAAAUUAACGUCUGCUUGGAAAUCACACAGAGGAGGCUGGUGUGACUGCAACUCUAGCAAUGAAUGCACUUAGCAAUUCUGUAAUUUAUCAUUUGACCACUAAUAUAUGGCUAGCAGGAGGAAACAAGUGCUGGGGACUAGACACAGUUAAAUCAGAACAAGCGUCCAUCCUUCAGAAGCUUACCACGUGGUAAAAGACUUAACGUAUGUGUUCAAGUAUCUUUUUUUUUUUUUUUUUUUUUUUUCUGAGACAUGGUCUCACUCUCUCACCCAGACUGGACUGUAGUGGCUUGAUCUCCGCUCACCGCAACCUCAGCUUCCCAGGCUCAAGUGAAUCUCCUGCCUCAGCCUCCUGAGUAGCUGGGAUUACAGGCACACACCACCACUCCUGGCAAAUUUUUAUAUUUUUAGUAGAGAUGAGGUUUCACCAUGUUUGCCAGGCUGAUCUCGAACUCCUGACUUCAAAUGAUCCACCUGCCUUGGCCUCCCAAAAUGCUGGAAUUACAGGCAUGAGCCACUACUCCCAGCUAGUUCAAAUAUCUCUUUUAAAAGAUUUUUAAAAAGGAAUGAGAAAGGAAAGUCUGUGUGGUUUUUGUUAAUGAAGCAUAAGCUUCAGUGCUGGCCUGGCAUCUUUAACAGAUCAGCUUUGAAGUCGAAUCAACCUUGUAGAUCCUCAGUUUUCUCAUCUAUAAAAUGGAGCAAGCAAGAGUCAUGACACUCAGAUGCUGCGCAGACUCCAGGUGAUCCUGCGGUAUACUCGAUAUGCCUGGCAUAUCAUCAGGGGUCCCACACAUGCACAAGUUUCCCUUUCAUUCCAAACAGGGAAUGUUCUUUCCAGUUUUAAGUUAAUGCUAUUUCCUCAUCUGCAUUUUUUUUCUCUUCCAUUCUUAAUAAGUUGAGUAAGAGGGACAGUGAACUGGAAAGGGAAAACGUGAAAAUGCCGAGAAUUCUGAAAAUACAUCUUUCCAAAUUGUGCAGCUUGGUGUUGGCAAGAUGACAAGGGCCCCGGAAACCGGGUGCAAACACAGCACAGCAAAAUCACGCAGCUUGCGUGUGCAAUAUAUGUAUGUUACAUGCCAACUGCUGAACAAGUGCUUUUAAACAAAUGACAAAUAUGAUACGAUGCUCUGAGGAUCAGGCCAAGUGAACGCAAGGGUUUUCAAGAUUCAGAUGUGGACACGAGGUUCCUCUCGUUCCCGCCCACCAGCCCUUGCCAAGCCCGAGACCCCAACAUAACACUCCUUUUGCCUCAACCUUUCUAUCUGCGGCACCACACACAUGCACACACCAUCAAGCAAUCACAACUCCACCCCUCAUGUUAAGCCUGUAGGCUGUAGAAUAUCGGCCAGCACAUUAUUUUCCCAAUCAAUUUACAAACUUAACUAAUAAUUUAAUUCGCCGCAUGACAAAUCCACUAGCUCAUGCCGAAAGCAACUCAAAUGGAACGGCCAUAAAAUUCCCUUCUACGCCUUUGCUUGAUGCCAUCGUUAAAAAAGAGAAGGGAUGACAAAGUGAAAGGGAAAGUGCAGUGAUUCUUUUAUGUGAAGAUUACAUUUAAAAAUAACCGACUAACCGUCUGCACUUUUCGGGGGCCUGACGUCUCGAAACGCAUUUAGAUUGAUGCAGGCUGGGGCUGACGUUCUCGUGCUGAGUAAACAGUCAAGUGUUCUUAAUAGGAAUUGCAGUUUCUCGACAUCUGUUAGGGAAAAGGGAAUGGCGAAACAACAAUUUAGAGUGAGAUUGGUUUUGUUAAAUGCAUUUAAAUUCCAAGAUUAGUGGUGUUCUUUCUUUUUCAAUUAGCAUUUACUUGUAGAAAGGUUACAGAUGAAAGGGCUGGGGAAGAGAUCGGGUGGAUUUUUUUCCUUACUGAGAGGACACUCCAAAGCAUAGUAAAGCUAAAAUAGGAAGAGAACGUAAGACUUAAAGGAACUUAAAACUGAUGCCAAAUUGAGAUUGCAAAUCUUGAAGGGAAAGCAUUUAAAAUAAAAUAAAAUAAAAAUAAAGUGAAGUUGAGUCUGGAUUUGAUGAUCCUGUCCUCUGGACAGAAAAAUCAUAAAUUGCUUUGAGAAAAUACAGGGAUUUCUAUUUUCCAAGCCAGUUACUAAGCAAAAUUUGUGUUAUUUCUCAAAUAUAUGCCAUGGUUCUGUGUGAGUGUGUAAAGAGCUGUAACUAGCUCACUUUUUUUUUUUUUGAUAGAAACAUAAACAGAGACGAAAAAUGUAGGGAAUGUUUCACCUGUUUUACUGCCAUUAAAUAAACCUCAUCUGCUACCAAGCUGUUUUGGGUGACAUUUGCUAAAUAAAUACAUUUUGUGGGAGACUUGAACACUGAAGCACAGAGACAUGCAACCGAUGUUCUCAGAUGAAUCCUGUUUGCUUCUCAGUGCCUAUACCCCUACCCCAGGGGGAGAGUGAAGUGGUAAAUUCAGGUUUAUGUUUUCACAUUGGUAGUUUAUUUUCAAACGUACACAGCUACAACAAAAAGUACAUGCUUUUAUUACCAGCGUUUCUUGUAAUUCUCUCUCUCUUUCUGCCCCCUAACCCAAUUUUCCCCUCUCCCUCACUACCUUCCUCCCUCCCUCCACAAAUACCUUUAUUGCUUUUUUUUUAACUGGGGAGUAUUCACUAUUUCUUUACACUUCUAUAUGGAUUUCACUUUUAAAAAAUCUAUCAGCAUGCAUAUUUCGUGCAUGUCUGAAACCUUUAAAAUAUUGUUUGAUCUUCAUGAUUAUUUAAAAAUAUGUAUAUUGAGUAUUUGCUUAAGGUAAAGCCAUUGCUGCCAUUUCCAAUUAAAAAACUAAUAAAUGUAUUUUAAAAGAAUGUCUGCCAAGACUGUUCUCUGACAAAGUAUCUCUGUGGAUAUUUAAAUGGCACCAAGAUGGAUUACUGUUUCUGAUUAUUUCUCAUGUAGGGUCUCAGUGAUUUUGCAGAAAUCGUAAUUGAAGAAAAUGAUGGAAAGGAAGCUUUGAAUAUGGAGUGUUGUUAUUGCACUGACUGGACAACCAGAUGGAGCUAUUCCCAGUCCCCAGCACACAGAUAGAGAAUCUAUUCGACAAUAACUAAAGAGGUGUACAGUUCUAGAACAUUCUGCAACCAGACUUCAGGCACCAGGAGGCCUCCGUAGGCAGGGUUCCUCGGGCUUCUCAGCUGGCUUCCUUGGAGAAAUUUCAUAUGCUGAUUCCUUUCAAUUAUCUGUCAAUUUUCAAAAUGCAAAUAGAAACAUGCAGUCAUCACUUUGGUACUCACCAGCUGAUUUCUUCCAAGCACCCAGACCAUAAGUGAAUGCAGUUCAAUAUGUUCUCUUCCUUUUUUUAAGUGGAGUUAAUAUUACUGAGCAGAUUUUGGUUAGCUUCCAGGAACCCAGUGUGUGGAGAGGCAGAAUUUUAUUUUAGAAGCACAAGUUGGUUUGAAAAAUGUGAACUUACCCCAACUCUUUCUUUGUUUCAUCUUUCUUACUAGACAUGUUUUAUUUUCCUAAAGAAAACAUAAAUAAAAACAAAAAAAAAUUCUUCAUUGAUACACACACACACACACACACACACACACAUACACAAUUUAGGUCAAAUUAUUUUUACUACUUAGGAUGUCUUUAGUUAUUUUACAUAUUUAUAACACAGAAAAAAAGUAAGAAGAAAAGGAAAAAUGGUGUAUAAUCUUAAGACCAGGAGAUAACCAAUAAUAAAUAUUUUGCUAUAAUUUCUUUUCAUAUUCUAUGCAUAUACAUUUUAUGGAAUUGAGUUCACACUGUUCACAUAAUUUUGCUUUCUCUAUUUUGCCUUUACCUUUAUCAAUAAGCAUUUUCUUUAUAUCCUUAAAAUUUCUUUAUUAACGUAACCUAAUACAUAUGCACAAAAUGUUACCUAAUCAUUCGCCUGUUUAAGGGCAUUUGGUAAUUUCCAAUAUUUUUUCCUUCACGAUUUCGGGUAAUGUUUAAAUAAACCAAUUUAUGGAAAAGAGCUACCUAUGUUGGAUUACUUGCUUAGAAUGAAUUCCUGGAAAUAGAAUUACUGGGUCAAAGGGUACCAACAUAUUUAAUGUCCCCAAAGGCAUAUUGGCAAAUUGCCUUCCAUACAAAUUAUACCAAUUCCCCCUCUGUAACUAGUAUAUAAAAGUGCCUGUUUCACAGUAUCUCCCCUGCUCCAAGAUCUUGUAAAAUCUCUGCAAAUUUGAAAAAUGAAAAAAAUGAUAACUGUUGCCUGGAACAAUUUGUUAAAAGAUGCACUGAGCAAUACAUUUAUUUUUAAAAUUUUUCAUCUCACAAAGAAAUAUAAAAGCUUAUACACAGGAUGUUUUCUGACCAAUAAAUGCUAAAAAGCCAUAAUGUUUCAUCAUACAUAGUAGAUUAUUUUGUUCGAAAACCUAUUACAUUUUGCAUGCUGCUAUAGCAGUCUUUCUAGUCCAGAAAACACUUCACUAAAACAGCAACAAUAUCAGUUUACUGCAUAAGAUUGCCGGCAGCUCACACUAGAUUCUAAACACGAUUGAAUAGGCAUCUUUAAGAGUGGAAUAUCCAUGACUUAUCUUGCCAGGCUUGGUACUAUGCCAGUGGAGAAGGUGGAUGGUGCCAUUGUUAUUUGGGCAGCCAUGCCGAUCUCAAGGAGGAAAGCUGAAAUUGUUUGAAAACCUGGUUUAAGACAGUCUUUUUGAGAUUUAGCCCUAGAGAACACUCAACUAAACAACCAAGAGAGGC
rnacentral:lncRNA from 1 species